CUUUACUGUAGCCUGGUAUUGGGUUCGGGCUUUGACUGCGCAGGAUAGGUGGGAGACUGAGAAGUGCGCCUUGUGGGGCACAUAGAGUCAACGGUGAGAUACCACUCUGUCAGAGCUAGAAUUCUAACUGAAAGCCGUUAUCCGGCUUUGGGACAGUUUCAGGCGGGCAGUUUGACUGGGGCGGUCGCCUCCUAAAAGGUAACGGAGGCGCGCAAAGGUGUUCUCAGGCUGGUUGGAAAUCAGCCGUAGAGUGUAAAGGCAGAAGAACGCUUGACUGUGAGAGUGACAACUCAAGCAGGGUGGAAACACGGCCUUAGUGAUCCGACGGUAUGCGCGUGGAAGUGCCGUCGCUCAACGGAUAAAAGUUA
rnacentral:rRNA from 1 species